rnacentral:lncRNA from 1 species
UGCCCCAGUCCAAGAAACCCAGACCAGCGUAUGUCCCAAACCUGGAGCCCAGACCAGCGUAUGUCCCAAACCUGGAGGACCAUCAGCCUCUCCUGGCCUGCCGAAUGGAGAAAAGGAACAGCAAGAGGCAAUUGAACAUAUUAAUGAAGUACAAAAUGAAACAGACAGACUUAAUGAACAAGCCAGUGAGGACCUUCUGAAAGUAGAACAAAAAUAUAAUGAACUCUGACAACCAUUUUUUCAGAAGAGGCCAGAAUUGAUUGCCAAAACCCCAAAUUUUUGGAUAACAACAUUUGUCAGCCACCCACAAGUGUCUGCACUGCUUGUGAAGGAAGGCAAAGAGGCUCUGAAUUAUUUCACCAGAGUUUAAAGGACAGAAUUUGAAGACAUCAAAUCUGGUUAAAGAAUAGAUUUUUUAUUUUGAUGAAAAUCCUUACUGUGAAAGUAAAGUUCUCUUCAAAGAAUUUUAUCUGAAUGAAAGUAGUGACCCAUCUUCAAAGUCCAUGGAAAUCAAGUGGAAAUCUGGAAAGGAUUCGACAAAAUGGUACAGAUGAGUUAGGAGAGGCCAUCAAAGAUAUAUUUGGCCAAAUAUCUUUCAGUACUAUUUGGUUCCCCAUGAAGAAGAAGAAGAAGAAGAAGAGGAAGAGGAAGAGGAAGAGGAAGAGGAAGAAGAGGAGGAGGAGGAGGAGGAGGAGCAGCUGUAAGGUAUUGAUGAAGGAGGGGAUGAGGAUGAAGAAGGUGAAGAAGAUGAAGAUGAAGGUGAAGAUGAAGAUGAAGGGGAGGAAGGAGAGGAGGAUGAAGGUGAGAAUGA